rnacentral:rRNA from 1 species
AAUAGAUACCCGGGUAGUCCACGCCCUAAACGAUGUCAACUGGUUGUUGGGGGAGGAAACUUUCUUAGUAACGAAGCUAACGCGUGAAGUUGACCGCCUGGGGAGUACGGCCGCAAGGUUAAAACUCAAAGGAAUUGACGGGGACCCGCACAAGCGGUGGAUGAUGUGGAUUAAUUCGAUGCAACGCGAAGAACCUUACCUACCCUUGACAUGCCAGGGAGCCGGAUGAGAGUUCGGUGUGCCCGAAAGGGAGCCUGGACACAGGUGCUGCAUGGCUGUCGUCAGCUCGUGUCGUGAGAUGUUGGGUUAAGUCCCGCAACGAGCGCAACCCUUGUCACUAGUUGCUACGGAUAGGGCACUCUAGUGAGACUGCCGGUGACAAACCGGAGGAAGGUGGGGAUGACGUCAAGUCCUCAUGGCCCUUAUGGGUAGGGCCUCACACGUCAUACAAUGGCGCAUACAGAGGGUAGCCAACCCGGCGAGGGGGAGCCAAUCUCAGAAAGUGCGUCGUAGUCCGGAUUGUUCUCUGCAACUCGAG